CCUACGGGAGGCAGCAGUGGGGAAUAUUGCACAAUGGGGGGAACCCUGAUGCAGCGACGCCGCGUGAGUGAAGAAGUAUUUCGGUAUGUAAAGCUCUAUCAGCAGGGAAGAAAAUGACGGUACCUGACUAAGAAGCCCCGGCUAACUACGUGCCAGCAGCCGCGGUAAUACGGAGGGGGCAAGCGUUAUCCGGAUUUACUGGGUGUAAAGGGAGCGUAGACGGCAGCACAAGUCUGGAGUGAAAUGCCGGGGCUUAACCCCGGAACUGCUUUUGAAACUGUGCAGCUAGAGUGCAGGAGAGGUAAGUGGAAUUCCUAGUGUAGCGGUGAAAUGCGUAGAUAUUAGGAGGAACACCAGUGGCGAAGGCGGCUUACUGGACUGUAACUGACGUUGAGGCUCGAAAGCGUGGGGAGCAAACAGGAUUAGAUACCCCUGUAGUC
rnacentral:rRNA from 1 species